AUUGAACGCUGGCGGCAGGCUUAACACAUGCAAGUCGAGCGGGGGAAGGUAGCUUGCUACCGGACCUAGCGGCGGACGGGUGAGUAAUGCUUAGGAAUCUGCCUAUUAGUGGGGGACAACAUCUCGAAAGGGAUGCUAAUACCGCAUACGUCCUACGGGAGAAAGCAGGGGAUCUUCGGACCUUGCGCUAAUAGAUGAGCCUAAGUCGGAUUAGCUAGUUGGUGGGGUAAAGGCCUGCCAAGGCGACGAUCUGUAGCGGGUCUGAGAGGAUGAUCCGCCACACUGGGACUGAGACACGGCCCAGACUCCUACGGGAGGCAGCAGUGGGGAAUAUUGGACAAUGGGGGGAACCCUGAUCCAGCCAUGCCGCGUGUGUGAAGAAGGCCUUAUGGUUGUAAAGCACUUUAAGCGAGGAGGAGGCUACUCUAGUUAAUACCUAGGGAUAGUGGACGUUACUCGCAGAAUAAGCACCGGCUAACUCUGUGCCAGCAGCCGCAGUAAUAC
rnacentral:rRNA from 1 species